GUCCCCGUAGCUCAGUCGGACUAGAGCAACAGCCUUCUAAGCUGUGGGUCGCAGGUUCGAAUCCUGCCGGGGACGCCA
rnacentral:tRNA from 1 species